AUGAAUGGUCCUCAAAAAUGGCCUGCUUUGUCCCUGCCAUGUGUGAACAUUGUAAAAGUAGCUCCUCAUUGGGUACGGCUGGAGGCCUUUUCGGACAACAGCGGGAAGCUCCAGCUGUCCCUGCAGGAGAUCAUCGAAUGGCUGACAGCUAAAGACGAGGAGCUGUCCGAGCAGCUGCCCAUAGGUGGUGAUGUGGGAGCGGUGCAGCACCAGCGGGAGUUCCACCAGGCUUUCAUGGAAGAUGUCAAAUCCAGAGGGCCCUACAUCUACUCGGUGUUGGAAUCAGCUCAGACCUUCCUUUCACAACACCCCUUCCAGGAGCCUGAGGAGACAUUGCCUGAUGGCAAAGAAGGCUCUCCUCGCCGGCGAAUGCUGAAUGUAAGUCGCUCCGUAUGGAAGCAGGCCAAUGUGGCCAGUGACCUGUGGGAGAAGUUGACAGCGCGCUGCGUGGACCGACACCGGCACAUGGAGCGAACCCUGGAGAGGCUGCUGCAGAUCCAGGCCGCCAUGGAGGAGCUGGCUGUGGCUCUGGAGCAGGCGGAGGGAGUAAGGGACGCCUGGGAGCCUGUGGGAGACCUGUUUAUUGAUUCGCUGCAGGACCAUAUAGACGCUACCAAGCUAUUUAAAGAAGAGCUGACCCAGGUGAAGGAAGGAAUGAAACACAUAAAUGACCUGGCCCACCAGCUGGCCAUAUCCGAUGUGCACUUGUCCAUGGAGAACGCCAGAGCUCUGGAGCACCUCAACAACAGAUGGAAACUUCUGCAGGUAGGGUCUAUUGAAGAACGUCUGAAACAGUUGCAAGAUGCCCACAGAGAUUUUGGCCCCGGAUCACAGCACUUUCUUUCCAGUAAGUGUGGUAACUCACUUGAAGCCGUAGAGUCUUCUGCCGGAGUCCAUCAGGCUCAGACAACCUGCUGGGACCAUCCAAAGAUGACUGAAUUAUACCAAGCUCUGGCGGACCUGAACAAUAUCAAGUUCUCUGCAUACCGGACUGCCAUGAAGCUGAGGCAUGUGCAGAAGGCUUUAAGAUUGGACCUGCUGAAGUUAAGCAGCGUGGUGGACGUGUUUCGAGAACAGGAGCUGCAGCAUGCCGAGCAUGUGAUGGAUGUGGUGGAGGUCAUUCACGCUCUCACUUCCCUGUAUGAGAAACUAGAGGAGGAGAGGUCCAUCCUGAUCAAUAUCCCCCUGUGCGUCGACAUGUGUCUCAACUGGCUGCUGAAUGUUUACGACAGUGGUCGUAAUGGUAAGAUGCGAGUGCUCUCCUUCAAGACGGGCCUGGUUAUUCUAUGCAGUGCAGACAUCCAGGAAAAGUAUAAAUACCUUUUCAGACAGGUGUGUGGUCCAGGUGGACUGACAGAUCAGAAACAUCUCAGCCUGUUACUGCAUGAGGCUAUUCAGAUCCCUCGGCAGCUCGGGGAAGUGGCGGCGUUUGGAGGAAGCAACGUGGAGCCCAGUGUCCGCAGCUGCUUUCGAAUGGCUCCAGGUAAGUCAGCUAUCGAGGUGUCUCACUUUCUGGAGUGGAUGAGCCUAGAGCCUCAGUCUGUGGUGUGGCUUCCUGUUCUACACCGGGUAACUGUGGCAGAGACAGCCAAGCACCAGGCACGCUGCUACAUCUGUAAGCAGUGCCCUAUCAAGGGCUUCAGAUACCGAAGUCUGAAACAGUUCAAUGUGGACAUCUGCCAGAUGUGUUUUCUGACGGGCCGGACUACCAAGGGCAAGAAACUACACUACCCCAUCAUGGAGUACUACACCCCGACGACCUCAGGCGAGAAGAUGCGGGACUUCGCAAAGACGCUAAAGAACAAGUUCCGCUCGAAGCAGUAUUUUAGUAAACACCCUCAGAGGGGAUACCUGCCCGUUCAAUCAGUACUGGAGGUGGAGAUGUGCACUGUCUCCUGUGUGGGGGGACUCAGGGAUGAAGAUCAGUACCUCCUACGUCACUCCAGCCCCGCCCUCGAGCAGGACUCCCCCCACGGCCACCUGCUGGCCCACCUGGACUGCCAGGACAGAGAAGAGCUGCAGCGCACCCUCCAACGCCUGGAGAACGAGAACAGGGUGCUGCAGGGCGAGUAUCGGCGGCUGAAGUGGAAGCAUGAAGAGGCAGCAUCUUCACCUCAGCUGCUGGAAUCGGGUCCCGGUUCACCGGCCGGUCAGCAGGACGAGGAGCUCCUAGCCGAGGCUCGAGUCCUUCGACAGCACAAGACCCGCCUGGAGACGCGCAUGCAGAUUCUAGAGGACCACAACAAGCAACUGGAGUCCCAACUACACAGACUCAGAGAACUACUGCUGCAGCCCAAAGACGACUCAGAGGCCAAUGGCUCAGAUCCUUCUUCUCUAUCGUCGCCUGUGUCAGGGGGUGGCCAGCAGGGGGAGCCUCCCAGUAGAGAGACCACAGACACAGAAGCUGCAGGUACACCCGGAAUAACCUUGCAGCUUUGCUGUCAUCCUGCCAACAUGGACCCAUAA
rnacentral:lncRNA from 1 species